CAAUUGAAGUCGGGGAUGAAGUCCGACUCCCGUAGGAGCCCGGAUGAAGUCUACCUGCAAUUGGAGUCGGGGAUGAAGUCCAGCUCCUGUAGGAGUCUGGGUGAAGUCUUCCUGCAAUUGAAGUCGGGGAUGAAGUCCCGCUCCCGUAGGAGUCCGAAUGCAGUCUAGAAGGUGGUCGAUCAUCAUGAAAACUUGGGUGGAGUCCGUCCGUCGUGAAGAAUCCGAUCGAUGCUGGUGGGGGCUUAUCCGUCAACGAAACUUGGGAGUGUUGCAGAGGCUCGACCGCCAGAGAGGUUCGGAAAGAUAUCGCCGA
rnacentral:lncRNA from 1 species